rnacentral:rRNA from 1 species
GAGUUUGAUCUUGGCUCAGAUUGAACGCUGGCGGCAGGCCUAACACAUGCAAGUCGAGCGGAUGACGGGAGCUUGCUCCUUGAUUCAGCGGCGGACGGGUGAGUAAUGCCUAGGAAUCUGCCUGGUAGUGGGGGACAACGUUUCGAAAGGAACGCUAAUACCGCAUACGUCCUACGGGAGAAAGCAGGGGACCUUCGGGCCUUGCGCUAUCAGAUGAGCCUAGGUCGGAUUAGCUAGUUGGUGGGGUAAUGGCUCACCAAGGCGACGAUCCGUAACUGGUCUGAGGAGAUGACUCAGUCACAC